UCGGGAAUAUUGCGGCAAUGGAGGAAACUCUGACGCAGUGACGCCGCGUAUAGGAAGAAGGUUUUCGGAUUGUAAACUAUUGUCGUUAGGGAAGAAAAGAACAGUACCUAAGGAGGAAGCUCCGGCUAACUACGUGCCAGCAGCCGCGGUAAUACGUAGGGAGCAAGCGUUAUCCGGAUUUAUUGGGUGUAAAGGGUGCGUAGACGGGCAUGCAAGUUGGUUGUGAAAUCCCUCGGCUUAACUGAGGAACUGCAACCAAAACUGUGUGUCUUGAGUGCAGGAGAGGUAAGUGGAAUUCCUAGUGUAGCGGUGAAAUGCGUAGAUAUUAGGAGGAACACCAGUGGCGAAGGCGACUUACUGGACUGUAACUGACGUUGAGGCACGAAAGUGUGGGGAGCAAACAGGAUUAGAUACCCUGGUAGU
rnacentral:rRNA from 1 species